GCGAGGAGCGGAUCGAGCACGAGGAUUGGUGGUGUCCUCUCUGGUGCAGACUUCCUGCUCCGGAGGUCUCGUUACAAGCUCAGAAAAAUGAAGAGCUGUGACUAAAGGGAGAGCUUUCAGAAGAAUAGGAGAGUCUGGCCCCUGGCCUUUCUCCUCAGCCCUUCCUGGAUUCCAGUGGCCCUUCCUCUCUCCUGGGAACAAAGAAAGAUGGAAAAGCCCACGGGCAAAAAGAAGGCACAGACCCCAAAGGAAGAAGGAGAUUUGCUAAAGGACACUCCCAAAGGAGAGAAAGCAUCUGGGGAGAAAAAGGCAAACAAGAGGUCCACCUUGGCGAAAAAGUACAGCAAGGAAGCCAGCCUGAGUCCUGAAGAAGAACACGUAUUUGAUGCCUUUGAUGCUUCGUUUAAAGAUGACUUUGAGGGGGUUCCCGUGUUCAUUCCUUUUCAGAGAAAGAAGCCCUAUGAGUGUAGCGAGUGUGGACGCGUCUUCAAGCACAAGACAGACCACCUUCGCCACCAGAGGGUUCACACGGGAGAGAAACCCUUCAAGUGUGAGGAGUGUGGGAAGAUGUUCAGGCACAGCUCCGAUGUCACCAAACACCAGAGAAUCCACACUGGAGAGAAGCCCUUUAAAUGCAGCGAGUGCGGGAAGGCCUUUAACUGCGGCUCCAAUCUCCUAAAACAUCAGAAGACGCACACUGGAGAGAAGCCGUAUGAGUGCAAGGAAUGUGGGAAAACCUUUGCCUACAGCUCAUGUCUCAUUCGCCAUCGGAAGCGCCACCCACGGAAGAAGCACUGAGCGCGGGGAAGCUAUCUGCCGAGACGCGGUGUUUGUGCUGAUGGGAGCUGUCCCUCCUUCAGCAUGUGAUCGAUGCUGGGGGUCCGUGAGCUCAGCGCACCUGUGCCCGGGCAUCCCCCUCAUCAUCAGGAAAAUCAACCCAGUGGGGUAAGCAAGUGCUUGAGCAUGGUAAAGACCUUUCUGGUCCAGAGCAUGGUAAAGACCUUUCUGGUCCAGAGCAUCUCUGGAUCAAGUGAUAAUGUGGGAGGGGCUUGUGGCACUGGAGACUCUGGGGAUAUCGACAGCUGUCUGUGGGGCUCGCGAGGCAGCGGCUGCUUGUGAGCGGCCCAGCGCCUCCCUCUGUGGCCUCCGCCUGUGGUGUCCACUGUGGUUUCAGCCCUCUCACCUGCUCCUUUGAAGACUUGAGUCUGCAGACUCUUUACCUGCCGGGUCAUCCCUGCACAGCCUGGCAGGAGGCCCACGGCCCUGAGCUAGGUAGCAGUACUCUGUGGUCGCGCCCACAGCGCUGCACCAGACACCUGCUGUCCCCACUCGGCUGGCCAUGGUGACAGUGGUUUGUGCUCUGGCUUCCCUCCUCGGGCUGCGGUGCCAGCACCAUGCCCCACCCCAUCCCCAGGAACUGCACCCUUUGUGCAUCCCCCUGGCCUAGCCCCCAUCCCAGGUGAGUGGCCUGACUCACCCAGGUGGAUCGCUCGGGACCUACAUACUGCCACCGUGGGAGAUUCCCGCCCUGGACACGUGGUGGAGUCCCCAAGGAUGUGAGCACAGCUUCGAGCCAGGCUGCAUCUGCCAUGGGGGUCUUCAGACAUGAGGCAGUGCGCCCUGCCCCCUGGGGAUCGGCUCUCCAGGUAAUUCUUGUCCUUUUCUGGCGUGAGAGCAGAUCACCCCAGUCAAGAAGUUCCUGAUGAAAUGUGCCUAGAAGUGAACCUCCCAACUAACCCAACUGCCCCAGUCCUGAGCCCUGAGGAGGAGAGCCCCGUGAAGGCAGCAAACUCCCCGAGCUCGAACUCCUGGUGGGGCCUUCCCCAACCUCUCCAAAGGCCACAGAAUUCACACCUCUCGCCCCCGCCCACCCAGGAGGGCAAUGCUGACGCCACCCAGCCUUCUAGGAAAGCACUGCAGGCUGAAACCCCACAGGCAACAUCAACAACUUUCCCAGCGUCCUGGGGAUGUCCCAGAGAAAUGCCUUUUCCAAAUAGGAAACCUUUAGGACGCCCCGCUGAGCAUGGUUCUCUUGCUGGAGAGCACUCAGAGCAGCACCUCGGCACCUGGCCCAGCGUGGAGGGCGCUGGGAUGGCGGGGGCCACGGAGGACACCUGCAGAUGUCCCCGGGACGUGACGUCAAUCAUCCAGCAGCAUCUGUCCCUACGGGGCUCCUGCUGGCCUCCAUCUGAGGGAAGGUGGGAGCCAGCGCUGUGGGAGAGUGGGCAGUGAGGGCCACACAGCAGGUGGGGCUUGGCUUCCUCCUCUCCCCACAGGUUGGGGGGCUCACCUGUGACUGGGUCCGCUGCAUUCCUGGGGAGGCUGUAGGCACCAGGGUGUUACCUGGGCUUGAUUUCCAGUGACCUCUUGUGUCCAUCCCCAAUCUGGACACCAAGCUGUGAUAUUCCUUUCCCCUGCAAGUGAGUGAGGCCCCAAGACAUGCUGCAGAGUAUGCAGGUCUGGAGGCAGCCCUGCAGCCUUGGCUCCAGGGAGCAAAGCCUGGGGCUCCCCGGUCCUGGUGCUCGUGGCAGAAGCCUGUGACACGGGGGACACUGGGACAUUUGCUCUGGAGUAGGACCAGCGAGGGCAGGGUUCUCAGCCAGGACGGAGGGGUAAAGGGGGUGUCCCCGAGGCCCAAGGAAGCCGUGUCCCCAAGGCCCAAGGGACCAGAGAGGGAAUGGGCUGAGGGCCAGUUCAGGGUGGGAGUGGCUGCGAAGAUGAUGGGGCAGACUGCGUGUCUCCUACCCAAGGACAUAGCUCUGCUCUGAGCGGCAGCCCGUGCCUCCAGGGACCUCUGUGCACUGAGCGUAGAGUUGGUGGUCUCCUGGUGUCCUCCUCACAAAAUCCAGCCGCCUGUUCCACGAACCACAGGGUCCUCCCCUUGACCAGAGUCCUGCCAGGACCCAGACGGGGCCAUGGGGGCCAGUGGCCGCUGCUGCCCGUGGUUGUCUGCGGUCUCCGUAGACAGAGGCUUCCCAGGUCCCUGUGGCAUUCUAGUUUUAACACGUGCGUGUGUCCUGAUGACUCGAGCACUCGGCUCCUGGGGCUGUCCUCACCCCCGGUGCAGUGCGCGCCCCUGGGCUGUCAGAGCUCUCGCACAGCUGUUGGU